UAACACAUGCAAGUCGAGGGGAAACGAUAGAGAAAGCUUGCUUUUUCUAGGCGUCGACCGGCGCACGGGUGAGUAACGCGUAUCCAACCUGCCCAUCACUUGGGGAUAACCUUGCGAAAGUAAGACUAAUACCCAAUGACGUCUCUAGAAGACAUCUGAAAGAGAUUAAAGAUUUAUCGGUGAUGGAUGGGGAUGCGUCUGAUUAGCUUGUUGGCGGGGUAACGGCCCACCAAGGCRACGAUYAGUAGGGGUUCUGAGAGGAAGGUCCCCCACAUUGGAACUGAGACACGGUCCAAACUCCUACGGGAGGCAGCAGUGAGGAAUAUUGGUCAAUGGGCGAGAGCCUGAACCAGCCAAGUAGCGUGCAGGAWGACGGCCCUAUGGGUUGUAAACUGCUUUUAUAAGGGAAUAAAGUGAGUCUCGUGAGACUUUUUGCAUGUACCUUAUGAAUAAGGACCGGCUAAUUCCGUGCCAGCAGCCGCGGUAAUACGGAAGGUCCGGGCGUUAUCCGGAUUUAUUGGGUUUAAAGGGAGCGUAGGCCGGAGAUUAAGCGUGUUGUGAAAUGUAGAKGCUCAACMUCUGCACUGCAGCGCGAACUGGUYUYCUUGAGUACGCACAAMGUGGGCGGAAUUCGUGGUGUAGCGGUGAAAUGCUUAGAUAUCACGAAGAACUCCGAUUGCGAAGGCAGCUCACUGGAGCGCAACUGACGCUGAAGCUCGAAAGUGCGGGUAUCGAACAGGAUUAGGUACCCUGGUAGUCCGCACGGUAAACGAUGGAUGCCCGCUGUUGGUCUGAAUAGGUCAGCGGCCAAGCGAAAGCAUUAAGCAUCACACCUGGGGAGUACGCCGGCAACGGUGAAACUCAAAGGAAUUGACGGGGGCCCGCACAAGCGGAGGAACAUGUGGUUUAAUUCGAUGAUACGCGAGGAACCUUACCCGGGCUUGAAUUGCAGAGGAAGGAUUUGGAGACAAUGACGCCCUUCGGGGUCUCUGUGAAGGUGCUGCAUGGUUGUCGUCAGCUCGUGCCGUGAGGUGUCGGCUUAAGUGCCAUAACG
rnacentral:rRNA from 1 species